CAGGUGUGGAAACCGAGUCACAGGGCUGUGCUCAGAGCAAGCUGAGGAUCACAGACCUGUCAUCAGGCUGAGUGAUGGAAAGCAGCGCUGAGGUAAAUUGACAACUCGGAAUUAACUGGGUGCUGGCACAGCUCAGCCGGCGCUGCCGAUGCUGUCAAGGUGGAGAUUCGAGCUUUAUGUACAGUGCCUGCAGCCCUGCCAUGAUUUAUAGGAACUGCAGCUCAAGUCUGAACCAAGAGGAAGCAAAAAUCUCCAAGCCAAAUGGCAGACUCUUAAAUUUGCUACAGCAGAGUCCUGACAUAUGGUUUGGUUUGCAAGGAGUUACAAAGCUCGGUGGAUGCCAGUGAA